rnacentral:rRNA from 1 species
CCUACGGGGGGCAGCAGUGGGGAAUAUUGCACAAUGGGGGAAACCCUGAUGCAGCGACGCCGCGUGAGCGAAGAAGUAUUUCGGUAUGUAAAGCUCUAUCAGCAGGGAAGAAAAUGACGGUACCUGACUAAGAAGCCCCGGCUAAAUACGUGCCAGCAGCCGCGGUAAUACGUAUGGGGCAAGCGUUAUCCGGAUUUACUGGGUGUAAAGGGAGCGCAGGCGGCUUGGCAAGUCUGAUGUGAAAGGCUGGGGCUCAACCCCAGGACUGCAUUGGAAACUGUUAGGCUGGAGUGUCGGAGAGGUAAGCGGAAUUCCUAGUGUAGCGGUGAAAUGCGUAGAUAUUAGGAGGAACACCAGUGGCGAAGGCGGCUUACUGGACGACAACUGACGCUGAGGCUCGAAAGCGUGGGGAGCAAACAGGAUUAGAUACCCCUGUAG